CGGGGAUGAUGGUGGUGACGGGAAGGGGGUUGACAAGAAGGGGUGGCUGCAUGGCAACGCAAAGCUACCAAAGCAGGUUCCUGCUACUGAGGAGCAUAAGUGGCUCAUUGAGCCCACGGGAAAAGACAACUAGAUAUAUUCUAAAGGGGUCCGUAUUCCCAACGGCCUCAUCACCGUCUUGCUGAAGUUAUAUUGGCCAGGGUUGUAUUGUCCUGAUCCAGUCAGGCAGCCGGACCGUCGGGUUUUGGCCACGAGCUGGGACCACUGGGAAGCGGCCCGCCACGCGGACCAUGAGACCCAUGCCAAGGCCGUGAUCACUACUUUCUGGAAAUUCUAUCGAGUUCUUCCGGAGCACAGGGCUAGAGUGGACCAGAUCGUGUUGCGCCAAUGCAAAAAGAAGGCCCGCCAGAUGCAGUACGAGGUGCGCUAUGUGGCCAUCUCCACAUACUACCACGACUAUCUUGGUGUGAAGAUGACCAAGGAAGAAGCGCGGAGGAUGGGCAUUACCUUGG